UCAUAAGCAAUGAUCCAGAUAUUCAUCGAAAGCAUUCAACCCAAACUAGCCUAAUCAAGAUAGAUUGUCUUAUUACUCAAUUUGAAAUUAUGCUCUUGACUCAAUUUAUAUUGAUCAAACAACUUUACAAAUGUCAAACUACAAAUUGACAGUAAAUGCAUGUGUGAUCAUCUUAUAGAUGUAUCUUUUCAACAUACCACAUGAUGGGUGAACGGGUCUAUAUUCACCUUUUAUACUUUUCAAAUUUUUUUGAUAUACAAUCCGAACAUUAGUCGGUCCAACCAACUUAUUAUAGGAACAAGAAACAUAAAACAACUAUUGAUGAAUCUUCCAGUUGUUCGUUACUUGUCCGAUAAUCAAUAUGCUCAUCUUUGGGGUGUCAUAAUCGUUAAUGCCAACUUAUGAAUUUAUUUUUACUAAUAAACUCCAAGUUUAUCAUGACAUGUAAUUUUUUCUUACGUAAAUUUACAUUUACUAUUACAUGAAUAAAUUUUUAGAUUUAUUACUUCAAGAGUAAAUUUUAGAAUAUUUUUUCUCAAUUAUUCUACUUCUUCUGAAGGUAUUACUCCUAUCACAUUCACCACAGGAAAUAAAUUUGUAUUUAUAAAAAUCAAAGCUCCCAUUCCCUAAUAAUAAACUAUAUUCAUGACUUAAACCUAUUAAAUUAUGAUAGCUUAGAAUCUCUUUCAAAAUAUUUACUACAUGAACAAAUUGAGGCAUACAUAGAAUUAUAGAGAAGCUUUUUCUUUAACAUCGAUCUUAUCAAUAGAAAUAGUUACAACCUAUAAAAUAUUACCAAUACAAAUGGGUUAUGCACCUAAAUGAAUUUAGCCAUAAUAAUAAACGUGAAAUUUUACCAUGUCUGGUAGUCAUAUAUUUCUUGAGCUUAACUAGAUCUUUCACAACACCAUAUCACCUGCAUCAUUAUUAGUUGACUAAAAUAUAUAUUCCUAUACAUCAUAAGAGGUAGUUUAAGGAGCUUCUCGUUGUCCUCCUUGUCGACAAUUCGGGAUAAUUUGGGUAAGGUCAACUGCACUGGCAGCUAUGGGGGCUAAAUUGGUCCAUUUACAUGCUACCAUCAAUAUCCAUAUCUAAAGUAAUAUUUCCUAAAAAGAAAAUAGCAUCAGAUCCAACAAUACAAUAUCUCAAUACUCAAAUAAAAAUUAUCUCUUUAUAACUGUUAAAUCAAAUAUUCAAAUCGAAAACUGUUUCUUCAUAACUGUUAAAUCCAAAACCAAAUUUACAAAAAAGUUGAAAAAAAAAAACAAAUUUUACCAACAAAAAUCAAUAAAUCUACUGAUAAUAAAACUUUCGUAGCAGAUGAACCAAUUUAUUUUGACCUUCUGCAGCAGAUGAACCAGUUUAUUUCGAGCAGCAAAGAUUAAUUUAUGUAGGGAACCAACGUUAGACAGUGAAUGAGUUUCUUCUAGAUAGAGAAAGGAGUAAGAGAUAGAAGUUUGGGUACUCUCAAAUAGGUUUUUUCUUUCCUUUUGUUUCUUUUCUUGCAGAAUGCAAGAUGAUAUGCGGCCUGCUUGGUAUUCCCGGCCAUGGGCUGACGAUCGAGGGUAUGGGAGGAAGAAGAGGAGAGAAGAAGAGAUUGGUAGUUGGGGUUGGGGAUAAUGUAAUUAAGUCAGGUAUGUUAGUGUAAACUAAAAAUAAUUAACGAAAUGGAUAAAGACCGUGUGAUCGAAGAGGGUGGGCGAUUGAGAUUAAAAUUAAAACUUGGGUGGGCUUGCGCGUUAUUGAAUUGGGCGACU
rnacentral:lncRNA from 1 species